rnacentral:lncRNA from 1 species
GGACCCUCUGAGCCAGGUGCAGGAUAUAAUCUCCAGGUGUGCCGUUUUUUAAGCCCGUCGGAAAAGCACAGUAUUCAGGUGGGAGUGACCCGAUUUUCCAGGUGCCGUCUAUCACCCCUUUCUUUGACUAGGAAAGGGAACUCCCUGACCCCUUGCACUUCCCGAGUGAGGCAAUGCCUCCCCCUGCUUCGGCUCGCACUUGGUGCGCUGCACCCACUGACCUGUGCCCACUGUCUGGCACUCCCUAGUGAGAUGAACCCGGUACCUCAGAUGGAAAUGCAGAAAGCACCCAUCUUCUGCGUCGCUCACGCUGGGAGCUGUAGACCUGAGCUGUUCCUAUUCGGCCAUUUAAAGUGGCAAAACAUUCUCUGCAAUGUGGGGUGAGUGGCAAUGAGAACACCUCAGAAGACACUGGGUAGCUUUUUCAAACUCUUCCCUCCACAUUGAGAUUCAGAUCUCAGAAGUACUGGGGGAAGAGGGUUGAGACUUGUGGAUUAUAAAUCAAAAAAACCUGAGGUUCUGCUGCAGCCCUUCCUACCACCACGCCGCACCUCCCUACCUUGAGAAUCGCUUUCUGUCUAUUUUGAUGAGAACACUACUUUCGCCCCAAAUAAUCCAUCAUACUGCUAUUAAAAGUCAAGUUCCAAACCAAGCGCAGUGGUGAGCACCUGUAGUCCCUGCUACUCUGGAGGCUGAGGAGGGAGGAUCACUUCCAGUGCAUACAUGUUGAUUUCUUAUAACUCAC